rnacentral:rRNA from 1 species
UACAGAGGGGGCAAGCGUUUGUUCGGAAUUACUGGGCGUAAAGGGCGCGUAGGCGGCCUUCUAAGUCGAACGUGAAAUCCCCGGGCUCAACCCGGGAACUGCGUCCGAUACUGGAAGGCUUGAAUCCGGGAGAGGGAUGUGGAAUUCCAGGUGUAGCGGUGAAAUGCGCAGAUAUCAGGAGGAACACCGGUGGCGAAGGCGGGUCUCUGGGCCGAUACUGACGCUGAGGAGCGAAAGCGUGGGGAGCGAACAGG